CAGAGGAACCAAGAAGCUGUAGAGGUGGCUCGGCGUAAUAGGCAGGUCAGGAAAAGAAGGCGGCGAUGGGUUUGGGGCUCAAUUGCUGCAGUAAUUACCCUUGGCACAGCAGCUUUAGCAUGGUCUUACCUUCCAUCAGCAAAUGGAUCAUCUUCCAGUAAUGAGUCUAUGGCUCCUGGACAUGAUGAUGCAGCCGAGUGAUGAGCAUUUAGUCAACUAGAAGACUAUGAUGUUGUAGAAGAAAAGAAAUAAAAGGUGGUCUAUGCCACCAUGUUAAUAGCAAAUUGCAUUUUCCCCGUCUGAAGAGCAUGGUAUUAUCAAAAUCAUUAUGUUACUUCAUAUCGAUUGGUAGCAAUCUGGUAGGCAGCGAAUUUUGAUUUUGAUCAAUCAUAAUUUGAAAUUAUUUUCUAACUUUUUUCGGCUUAAAGGCUAUAGAUAUGCAUUUGCAAUGCAUAAGAGAGUGCUAGGUUCUAUUGAAAAACUCUUUUUGCUCGAGCCAUUGUUCUUGUACUGGUGUACCUGCACACUUUGUCAGUCACUAAAGUUGAGGAUAAAGGAAUUGACAGCUUGAAAAUGUUAUAUGCCUUUCCCAAGGGUGAUUACUGAUUUCAAGUUUGUAAUGCUAUUUUGCGGAAGAGUGAUAACAUCUUAUAAUUCAAUUUUAAUGCAAUUGGCAUUUAUAUUCUUUGUGUAAUAUCUUGUUUGGGAUUGAUUAGCGGAAUUUUAUAAAAUUUAAUCUUUU
rnacentral:misc_RNA from 1 species